rnacentral:rRNA from 1 species
AUUGAACGCUGGCGGCAUGCUUUACACAUGCAAGUCGAACGGUAACAGGUCUUUCGGGAUGCUGACGGGUGGCGAACGGGUGAGUAAUGUAUCGGAACGUGCCCAGUAGUGGGGGAUAACUACUCGAAAGAGUGGCUAAUACCGCAUGAGAUCUCUGGAUGAAAGCGGGGGACCGUAAGGCCUCGCGCUACUGGAGCGGCCGAUAUCAGAUUAGGUUGUUGGUGAGGUAAAGGCUCACCAAGCCGACGAUCUGUAGCUGGUCUGAGAGGACGACCAGCCACACUGGGACUGAGACACGGCCCAGACUCCUACGGGAGGCAGCAGUGGGGAAUUUUGGACAAUGGGCGCAAGCCUGAUCCAGCAAUGCCGCGUGCAGGACGAAGGCCUUCGGGUUGUAAACUGCUUUGUACGGAACGAAAAGCCUUCUUCUAAUACAGGAGGGUCAUGACGGUACCGUAAGAAUAAGCACCGGCUAACUACGUG